UGCUGAAGUUUCCAGAGGCUUUGUAUUUUUCUAAAGUCCUUGCUGUAGUCUUCUCUCUUGAUUUUGGGUUCUUUAAAUACUCCUCUUCAGAGAGAGUCUGUAUCUUGCAGCCAUCUCAGCUAUCACUGACUAUAUUUUACUACAGUUCUAUUGGGCCAGUGGUAAGAUGUGAGGUGAGAGACAGAUCACAGGAAGUCUGUAUGAGAGCAAUGCCCUUCAACAAGGGCCAUGAGAAGCUCUUUCUCAAAUCUUCAAGGUGAGGAUGGCCUAUGGCUCCUGGAGGUAUAAGCCACAACAGUGAGGAAUUUAACAAUUCAUCAACAUUACUAUUUAAUAAGUGUCCUAUUAGUUUAUGGCUCUAGUGGUUCUUCUCCAAAUAAGCAGAAUUCAGGUGAGUCAGAGAGGCAAGAGAGAAGCUACUCCGGUUGACUGAAAAACUAGUGUGCCUCAAAAGAGGAAGUGUGCCCACUUUUCUGUUUGGUACAGAGCUCAGAUCCUUUGUGGGGAAAUCAUGCAAAAAGAAUAUCAUCUCAGAACCUUAUAGAAAGAAUAUAUAUAAACAUAAUUUAUCAGAAAAAAGAGGAAAUAUAAGUAGUAACAUUCAUCACCAUCAGUGGGAUUAAAGAAGACAUAAUAUCCUGAAAGACAAAAAAAAUUCCAUCAAGAGAAAGUAAGAUGGCAGCUGGUGUAUAUUUGGAUAGAAAAAAUUGUCCCUUCUGAAGAAACUUUCAUGCAUGGCAGUUAAAAUUGUUCCUAGCAAAAGAAUGUGAAAGAAGUCUCUGGCAAGUGGACUUUUCUCUCAGAUCUUAGAAAUAAACUGAUUGA